GCGAACUGGUGGCUGUCCGGCGCGGUAAUAAGAAAGUGGCAUUGGUUAUGCGGAAUUACGGGGGGUAAAGCUGGAGUAGGUGGUUCAUUAAGUCUGCUGUGAAAUCCCCGGGCGCAACCUGGGAAUGGCAGUGGAUACUGGGGAGCUAGAGUGUGAUAGAGGAUGGUGGAAUUCCCGGUGUAGCGGUGAAAUGCGUAGAGAUCGGGAGGAACAUCAGUGGCGAAGGCGGCCAUCUGGAUCAACACUGACGCUGAGGCACGAAAGCGUGGGGAGCAAACAGGAUUAGAUACCCGGGUAGUC
rnacentral:rRNA from 1 species